UACGAAGGGGGCUAGCGUUGCUCGGAAUUACUGGGCGUAAAGCGCACGUAGGCGGAUUGUUAAGUCAGGGGUGAAAUCCCGGGGCUCAACCUCGGAACUGCCUUUGAUACUGCAAAUCUCGAGUCCGGAAGAGGUGAGUGGAAUUCCUAGUGUAGAGGUGAAAUUCGUAGAUAUUGGGAAGAACACCGAUGGCGAAGGCAGCCAUCUGGACCGACACUGACGCUGAGGCGCGAAAGCGUGGGGAGCAAACAGG
rnacentral:rRNA from 1 species